rnacentral:rRNA from 1 species
GAUGAACGCUAGCGGCAGGCCUAACACAUGCAAGUCGAGGGGCAGCACAGAAACAGCAAUGUUUUGGUGGCGACCGGCGGACGGGUGCGUAACGCGUAUGCAACCUACCUUUAACAGGGGGAUAACGGAGAGAAAUUUCCACUGAUACCCCAUAACAUCGAUCAAGGCAUCUUGAUUGGUUGAAAACUCCGGUGGUUAAAGAUGGGCAUGCGUUGUAUUAGGUAGUUGGUGAGGUAAUGGCUCACCAAGCCUACGAUACAUAGGGGGACUGAGAGGUUAGCCCCCCACACUGGUACUGAGACACGGACCAGACUCCUACGGGAGGCAGCAGUGAGGAAUAUUGGUCAAUGGGGGCAACCCUGAACCAGCCAUGCCGCGUGCAGGAAGACGGCUCUAUGAGUUGUAAACUGCUUUUAAACAGGGAUAUAGCACAGUAUGUAUACUGUGUUGAAGGUACUGUAAGAAUAAGGAUCGGCUAACUCCGUGCCAGCCGCCCAGUAA